AUUGAACGCUGGCGGCAGGCCUAACACAUGCAAGUCGAGCGGAUGAAGGGAGCUUGCUCCUGGAUUCAGCGGCGGACGGGUGAGUAAUGCCUAGGAAUCUGCCUGGUAGUGGGGGAUAACGUCCGGAAACGGGCGCUAAUACCGCAUACGUCCUGAGGGAGAAAGUGGGGGAUCUUCGGACCUCACGCUAUCAGAUGAGCCUAGGUCGGAUUAGCUAGUUGGUGGGGUAAAGGCCUACCAAGGCGACGAUCCGUAACUGGUCUGAGAGGAUGAUCAGUCACCCUGGAACUGAGACACGGUCCAUACUCCUAAGGGAGGCAGCAGUGGGGAAUAUUGGACAAUGGGCGAAAACCUGAUCCAACCAUGCCGCGUGUGUGAAAAAAGUCCUCGGAUUGUAAAGCACUUUAAGUUGGGAGGAAGGGCAGUAAGUUAAUACCUUGCUGUUUUGACGUUACCAACAGAAUAAGCACCGGCUAACUUCGUG
rnacentral:rRNA from 1 species